rnacentral:antisense_RNA from 1 species
AUAAGAGCUGCCGCAGGCUGCGAUCUUUUGAUCUUGUUUUUGACAGGCAAGAUCAAAGGAUCGCAGCCUGCGGCAGCUCCUAC